rnacentral:rRNA from 1 species
GGCGCACGGGUGCGUAACGCGUAUGCAAUCUACCUUUUACAGAGGGAUAGCCCAGAGAAAUUUGGAUUAAUACCUCAUAGUAUAAUUGAAUGGCAUCAUUUAAUUAUUAAAGUCACAACGGUAAAAGAUGAGCAUGCGUCCCAUUAGCUAGUUGGUAAGGUAACGGCUUACCAAGGCAACGAUGGGUAGGGGUCCUGAGAGGGAGAUCCCCCACACUGGUACUGAGACACGGACCAGACUCCUACGGGAGGCAGCAGUGAGGAAUAUUGGACAAUGGGCGCAAGCCUGAUCCAGCCAUGCCGCGUGCAGGAAGACGGUCCUAUGGAUUGUAAACUGCUUUUAUACAGGAAGAAACACUCCUACGUGUAGGAACUUGACGGUACUGUAAGAAUAAGGAUCGGCUAACUCCGUGCCAGCAGCCGCGGUAAUACGGAGGAUCCAAGCG